rnacentral:rRNA from 1 species
UACGUAGGUGGCAAGCGUUGUCCGGAUUUACUGGGCGUAAAGAGCGCGCAGGCGGUCGUUCAAGUCGCGUGUGAAAGCCCCCGGCUCAACUGGGGAGGGUCACGCGAUACUGAUCGACUCGAAGGCAGGAGAGGGUAGUGGAAUUCCCGGUGUAGUGGUGAAAUGCGUAGAUAUCGGGAGGAACACCAGUGGCGAAGGCGGGUCUCUGGGCAGUAACUGACGCUGAGGAGCGAAAGCGUGGGGAGCGAACAGG